rnacentral:rRNA from 1 species
UACGUAGGGUGCAAGCGUUGUCCGGAAUUACUGGGCGUAAAGGGCUCGUAGGCGGCCAACUAAGUCAUACGUGAAAUCCCUCAGCUUAACUGGGGAACUGCGUUUGAUACGGAUGGGCUAGAGUUCGGGAGAGGAGAGUGGAAUUCCCAGUGUAGAGGUGAAAUCGUAGAUAUUGGGAAGAACACCGGUGGCGAAGGCGGCUCUCUGGACCGAGACUGACGCUGAG